GCUGGGCGUGGUGGCGUGCGCCUGUAGUCCCAGCUACUCAGGAGGCUGAGACAGGAGAAUUGCUUGAACCUGGGAGGCAGAGGUUGCAGUGAUCCGAGAUUGCGCCACUGCACUCCAUCCUAGGUAACAGCGAGAUUCUGUCUCAA
rnacentral:SRP_RNA from 1 species